rnacentral:ncRNA from 1 species
GUCUAAGUACAUACCUUAAAACGGUGAAACCGCGAAUGGCUCAUUAAAUCAGCUAUGGUUCCUUAGAUCAUAUAUACUACAUGGAUAACACUGUAGUAAUUCUAGGGCUAAUACAUGCAAUUAUGUCCUGACCCGCAAGGGAACGGGUGCAUUUAUUAGAACAAAACCAACCGCAGGCAGUUUCGGCUGUCUCUGUUAAAUUCUGUGAUGAUUCUGGAUAACUUUAAUGAUCGCAGUCGGCCUUAUGUCGGCGAUGGAUCUUUCAAAUUGUUAGAAUGAUUUCAAAGUUUUCUUAAUGAAACUUUUGUUAUAAGAAUUACAAUGCUCAGAGAG